rnacentral:rRNA from 1 species
GAUGAACGCUGGCGGCGUGCCUAAUACAUGCAAGUCGAGCGAACAGACAAGGAGCUUGCUCCUUUGACGUUAGCGGCGGACGGGUGAGUAACACGUGGGUAACCUACCUAUAAGACUGGGAUAACUUCGGGAAACCGGAGCUAAUACCGGAUAAUAUUUCGAACCGCAUGGUUCGAUAGUGAAAGAUGGUUUUGCUAUCACUUAUAGAUGGACCCGCGCCGUAUUAGCUAGUUGGUAAGGUAACGGCUUACCAAGGCGACGAUACGUAGCCGACCUGAGAGGGUGAUCGGCCACACUGGAACUGAGACACGGUCCAGACUCCUACGGGAGGCAGCAGUAGGGAAUCUUCCGCAAUGAGCGAAAGCCUGACGGAGCAACGCCGCGUGAGUGAUGAAGGUCUUCGGAUCGUAAAACUCUGUUAUUAGGGAAGAACAUACGUGUAAAGUACUAUGCACGUCUUGACGGUACCUAAUCAGAAAGCCACGGCUAACUACGUGCCAGCAGCCGCGGGUAUACGUAGGUGCCAAGCGUUUCCCGGAUUAUUGGGCGUAAGCGCGCGUAGGCGGUUUUUUAGUCUGAUGUGAAAGCCCACGGCUCAACCGUGGAGGGUCAUUGGAAACUGGAAAACUUGAGUGCAGAAGAGGAAAGUGGAAUUCCAUGUGUAGCGGUGAAAUGCGCAGAGAUAUGGAGGAACACCAGUGGCGAAGGCGACUUUCUGGUCUGUAACUGACGCUGAUGUGCGAAAGCGUGGGGAUCAAACAGGAUUAGAUACCCUGGUAGUCCACGCCGUAAACGAUGAGUGCUAAGUGUUAGGGGGUUUCCGCCCCUUAGUGCUGCAGCUAACGCAUUAAGCACUCCGCCUGGGGAGUACGACCGCAAGGUUGAAACUCAAAGGAAUUGACGGGGACCCGCACAAGCGGUGGAGCAUGUGGUUUAAUUCGAAGCAACGCGAAGAACCUUACCAAAUCUUGACAUCCUUUGACAACUCUAGAGAUAGAGCCUUCCCCUUCGGGGGACAAAGUGACAGGUGGUGCAUGGUUGUCGUCAGCUCGUGUCGUGAGAUGUUGGGUUAAGUCCCGCAACGAGCGCAACCCUUAAGCUUAGUUGCCAUCAUUAAGUUGGGCACUCUAAGUUGACUGCCGGUGACAAACCGGAGGAAGGUGGGGAUGACGUCAAAUCAUCAUGCCCCUUAUGAUUUGGGCUACACACGUGCUACAAUGGACAAUACAAAGGGCAGCGAAACCGCGAGGUCAAGCAAAUCCCAUAAAGUUGUUCUCAGUUCGGAUUGUAGUCUGCAACUCGACUACAUGAAGCUGGAAUCGCUAGUAAUCGUAGAUCAGCAUGCUACGGUGAAUACGUACCCGGGUCU